AGAGUUUGAUCCUGGCUCAGGAUGAACGCUAGCUACAGGCUUAACACAUGCAAGUCGAGGGGAAACGAUAGAGAAAGCUUGCUUUUUCUAGGCGUCGACCGGCGCACGGGUGAGUAACGCGUAUCCAACCUGCCCAUCACUUGGGGAUAACCUUGCGAAAGUAAGACUAAUACCCAAUGAUAUCUCUAGAAGACAUCUGAAAGAGAUUAAAGAUUUAUCGGUGAUGGAUGGGGAUGCGUCUGAUUAGCUUGUUGGCGGGGUAACGGCCCACCAAGGCGACGAUCAGUAGGGGUUCUGAGAGGAAGGUCCCCCACAUUGGAACUGAGACACGGUCCAAACUCCUACGGGAGGCAGCAGUGAGGAAUAUUGGUCAAUGGGCGAGAGCCUGAACCAGCCAAGUAGCGUGCAGGAUGACGGCCCUAUGGGUUGUAAACUGCUUUUAUAAGGGAAUAAAGUGGGAGUCGUGACUCCUUUUGCAUGUACCUUAUGAAUAAGGACCGGCUAAUUCCGUGCCAGCAGCCGCGGUAAUACGGAAGGUCCGGGCGUUAUCCGGAUUUAUUGGGUUUAAAGGGAGCGUAGGCCGGAGAUUAAGCGUGUUGUGAAAUGUAGACGCUCAACGUCUGCACUGCAGCGCGAACUGGUUUCCUUGAGUACGCACAAAGUGGGCGGAAUUCGUGGUGUAGCGGUGAAAUGCUUAGAUAUCACGAAGAACUCCGAUUGCGAAGGCAGCUCACUGGAGCGCAACUGACGCUGAAGCUCGAAAGUGCGGGUAUCGAACAGGAUUAGAUACCCUGGUAGUCCGCACGGUAAACGAUGGAUGCCCGCUGUUGGUCUGAAUAGGUCAGCGGCCAAGCGAA
rnacentral:rRNA from 1 species